CCUUAAACGGUGAAACCGCGAAUGGCUCAUUAAAUCAGCUAUGGUUCCUUAGAUCGUACAUGCUACAUGGAUAACUGUAGUAAUUCUAGAGCUAAUACAUGCCACUAUGCCCUGACCCGCAAGGGAACGGGUGGAUUUAUUAGAACAGAACCAACCGGGAGUGACUUGUCAUUCCUGUUGCACUCUGUGAUGACUCUGGAUAACUUUACUGAUCGCAGUCGGCCUUGUGUCGGCGACGGAUCUUUCAAAUGUCUGCCCUAUCAACUUUCGAUGGUAGGUGAUCUGCCUACCAUGGUGAUAACGGGUAACGGGGAAUCAGGGUUCGAUUCCGGAGAGGGAGCCUGA
rnacentral:rRNA from 1 species